UACGAAGGGGGCUAGCGUUGUUCGGAAUUACUAGGCGUAAAGCGCGCGCAGGCGGUCCUUUAAGUCAGGGGUGAAAGCCCAGAGCUCAACUCUGGAACUGCCUUUGAAACUAGAGGACUUGGGUACGGGAGAGGUGAGUGGAAUUCCGAGUGUAGAGGUGAAAUUCGUAGAUAUUCGCAAGAACACCAGUGGCGAAGGCGGCUCACUGGCCCGAUACUGACGCUGAGGCACGAAAGCGUGGGGAGCAAACAGG
rnacentral:rRNA from 1 species